rnacentral:rRNA from 1 species
CACGUAGGGCGCGAGCGUUGUCCGGAAUUAUUGGGCGUAAAGAGCUCGUAGGCGGCCUGUUGCGUCCGCUGUGAAAGCCCGGGGCUUAACCCCGGGUCGGCAGUGGAUACGGGCAGGCUAGAGGUAGGUAGGGGAGAAUGGAAUUCCCGGUGUAGCGGUGAAAUGCGCAGAUAUCGGGAAGAACACCCGUGGCGAAGGCGACUCUCUGGAACGCAACUGACGCUGAGACGCGAAAGCGUGGGGAGCAAACAGG